CUGGAGUACAGACCCAGUUCAGGGGGUCCAGAACAUUAUGAAUGGGAUGGCCGAGGUGGAGUACAGACCCAGUUCAGGGGGUCCAGAACAUUAUGAAUGGGAUGGCCAAGGUGGAGUACAGACCCAGUUCAGGGGGUCCAGAACAUUAUGAAUGGGAUGGCCGAGGUGGCGUACAGACCCAGUUCAGGGGGUCCAGAACAUUAUGAAUGGGAUGGCCGAGGUGGCGUACAGACCCAGUUCAGGGGGUCCAGAACAUUAUGAAUGGGAUGGCCGAGGUGGCGUACAGACCCAGUUCAGGGGGUCCAGAACAUUAUGAAUGGGAUGGCCAAGGUGGAGUACAGACCCAGUUCAGGGGGUCCAGAACAUUAUGAAUGGGAUGGCCAAGGUGGAGUACAGACCCAGUUCAGGGGGUCCAGAACAUUAUGAAUGGGAUGGCCGAGGUGGGGUACAGACCCAGUUCAGGGGGUCCAGAACAUUAUGAAUGGGAUGGCCGAGGUGGCGUACAGACCCAGUUCAGGGGGUCCAGAACAUUAUGAAUGGGAUGGCCGAGGUGGCGUACAGACCCAGUUCAGGGGGUCCAGAACAUUAUGAAUGGGAUGGCCGAGGUGGCGUACAGACCCAGUUCAGGGGGUCCAGAACAUUAUGAAUGGGAUGGCCGAGGUGGCGUACAGACCCAGUUCAGGGGGUCCAGAACAUUAUGAAUGGGAUGGCCGAGGUGGUGUACAGACCCAGUUCAGGGGGUCCAGAACAUUAUGAAUGGGAUGGCCGAGGUGGGGUACAGACCCAGUUCAGGGGGUCCAGAACAUUAUGAAUGGGAUGGCCGAGGUGGAGUACAGACCCAGUUCAGGGGGUCCAGAACAUUAUGAAUGGGAUGGCCGAGGUGGCGUACAGACCCAGUUCAGGGGGUCCAGAACAUUAUGAAUGGGAUGGCCGAGGUGGAGUACAGACCCAGUUCAGGGGGUCCAGAACAUUAUGAAUGGGAUGGCCGAGGUGGAGUACAGACCCAGUUCAGGGGGUCCAGAACAUUAUGAAUGGGAUGGCCGAGGUGGAGUACAGACCCAGUUCAGGGGGUCCAGAACAUUAUGAAUGGGAUGGCCGAGGUGGAGUACAGACCCAGUUCAGGGGGUCCAGAACAUUAUGAAUGGGAUGGCCAAGGUGGAGUACAGACCCAGUUCAGGGGGUCCAGAACAUUAUGAAUGGGAUGGCCGAGGUGGCGUACAGACCCAGUUCAGGGGGUCCAGAACAUUUUGAACCUUAAUCGUUGCACGGUGGAUUGUUUUUCUUCAGUAUAUUUAUUAUAAUGGUUCAACACACGAAAGGCUUCAGAUUAGGUUUGGUCCAUUUCCCUGUUCAAAUCAAUUCCAACGUCUUGUUAGUGUAUGCAAUCGGUAAAUUCACUUGAAAGUGCCAUUCAGAGGUCGAAUUAUACUGUGAUAUUUGAAGGCUCUAUGUUUUUAUCCCUCCAAUGUAAAAAUACAUCGGCUUUAUAGUAAAGACAUAAUGGGUCAACACAACCAGUCAUGAUGUUUUCAUCUGAUUGUGAAAAACAAAUCACUUCAAAAGUAGAUGAAGUAGGUUACCUGCACAAGUCCGGCAUCCCAACAGUCCGGCAUCCCAACAGUCCGGCAUCCCAACAGUCCGGCAUCCCAACAGUCCGGCAUCCCAACAGUCCGGC